UGCCUGGUCAAAAUCCCUCUAACUGGGCAAAUUCCUUUUGAAUUGGGUAAGACUCUGAAAGGGGCAAGGGGAUUUCUAUCCCCUAUACACAGCUGCCACACAGGCUCUGAUUGGUGAGCAGAUACAACAAAUGGUGGGUUUGUGCUCAUUCUCUCAGGCCGACACACACAAACACAAGAAAUGACAGGAAAUACCCGAAGGAGUCAUCCGCUGAGCUGAUGGAGUUGGGGAACAACGCCCUCUGUAGGCACCCAUUGACAGAGUCAAUGUUCAGCUGAGGCAAAGAGAUGGCAUUUUUAAUGAUGGGUGAGAUGUCUGGAGGUGGAGAUGACAAAUCCCGAGAACCCCCUCGGGGCCGAGGUCCAGAGGUUCUCCGUACGUGGCGAAAGAGCAAUGAAGCCAAAGUAAGGAAAUGGUGCUAAACUCCAAACACCUGACCUCUCCAGGAAACAGCCAGAGUUGGAUUAACGCCUCAGACUGUUGGUUUUACAAGCCGGAGAUGCUACCUGGUCAGGCUUUAAAUUGUGAUAUAACAACUUCUAAAUCAUCUUGCAUGUCUCUUGACUAAUCUGAUUUUUCAAUUGUUUUCGGGAUGUCUGUAUCUGAUUGUAAGUAUUGACUACUGGCAUUUUUAAAUGGUAUAACAUUGGUAUAGGAGGAGUUGCAAGCACUCCACUCCCAUUGUGGUCACCCUGUCUUGGUUUUACAUCUGCUGCACCAUAGAAGUCCUUAAGCUGCAGCAAAAAAGAAAUAAAUACGUUUUUUGACUGGAA